CUCAGGUUUAUAGCACAAUUACUGUUGUCAUAGCCCGGCUCCUAGGCCAUGACAAAUACGGGAAAGGACGCAGUGAUUGAUUGUAAAUUAAAGAUAUUUAUUACAAAUAAAUUAAGGAUAUACAGAAAUAACUACAAA